AAGUGAGUCACGGUGCCAGACCCUCACAAAUGCCGAAUGUCUACGUGGGACCUCUCUUCUAUCGGGUCCACAUCACAAGAAGAAAAGUCGCUCAAAUGCAGCACGGAGUGGACGUGAAUCUCCGAAAACUCCAUGAAUCAGAGCGACUGCUUUCCCAAUUGCCGGUCUCCCCAUUUGAGGGAUACAGGACGUUGCUGAGUAUUGACGGGGGCGAGUGGGUCCCGCUGCCCCACUGUGUGAUCCUGAAUAUCGACAGGGACGUCCACACGGAAGCUGUCCAGGCGGCUCCAGACACAAAGAGCAGAAGAUGGCGGUGCCUAUGCCUUCCAAACGCAGGUCCCUGGUCGUGCAGACCUCCAUGGACGCCUACACCCCUCCAGGGAAAAGGGAAGAGUUCGUAACCCUCUGGGUGGAAUUGGACUUUUCUUCUGAUUAGGCUGGUGCAUGCGUGUUCUCAUAUCUUCAGAUAAGUGUGCUAUAUUGUUGGAUUGUUUUAGAACAAGUGAAUUGGACAGUUUCGGCAGCUACCCGAAUCAGGUCAUAAGCUUUGCCUGCAAGGUGCCAGCUAGUAUUUUAGUUCCUGCAGGCCAUAAAGUCUCUCACAACCACUCAACUGUGCCCUCAGCCAUGGGUGAUAGCAAAUGCGUAUGGCUGUGUACCCAGAAAACUUUAUUUACAAGAACA
rnacentral:lncRNA from 10 species